rnacentral:rRNA from 1 species
AUUGAACGCUGGCGGCAGGCCUAACACAUGCAAGUCGAACGAGUGGCGGACGGGUGAGUAAUGUCUGGGAAACUGCCUGAUGGAGGGGGAUAACUACUGGAAACGGUAGCUAAUACCGCAUACCAUCGGAUGUGCCCAGAUGGGAUUAGCUAGUAGGUGGGGUAACGGCUCACCUAGGCGACGAUCCCUAGCUGGUCUGAGAGGAUGACAAGCCACACGGGAACUGAGACACGGGCCAUACGCCUACGGUAGGCAGCAGUGGGGAAGUUUGCACUAUGGGCGAAAGCCUGAUGCGGCCAUGCCGGGUGUAUGAAGAGGGCCUGCGGGUUGUAAAGUACUUUCAGCGGGGGGGCGUUACCCGCAGAAGAAGCACCGGCUAACUCCGUGCCAGCAGCCGCGGUAAUUC